ACCUCUCCCGUGGAGAGCAAUAAUAGGGAGUUUGGACGGGAAGAGGCGUGACGGGGAAGAGCGUGGCUGGUAGGAGGGAAGGUGCUGUCUUUUGGAGGAAUCCUUGAAUUUUCCAAAUUAGGAAUGACGGCCGUGGGGGAAAAUUAGAGCUACUAUCUCUAGGCUGCAAAAAUCCGGAUAAUCACUAGGUGGCGGCAUAGAAACUCAGGAAGGUCUAUUCCUUUGCUGCUGCUAGAGUAGGCCAGAUAUAGUAGUCCUGCACUGAAUAACGUGAGGUUGCGAUCCGUUACGGACUUCAUUGGGAGUCCCUCCGUUGGAACCGAUUGGUUCAUCAGAUCAGCAAGCUUACAUGGGAUCUGGGCUGGGUUCACACAAGGCACUAUGCUACAAUGUGAUUGGCUGCUUAGUGUGUUUCGCAGACAGUCAUUGGAAGGGAUCUGUAUUCACAGCAAUUAUGAAGUUUAAAGGAGCUUUUAGGAAGGCCGCACAAAGCUUCAGAAGGCUGAUUUGCUUCAGUAAUAUCUUAAGUGAACACUCCUUUGAAUCUGUUUCACAGUGCCCCUUGCUAUGCUAAAGAAUAAAGCACAGCUGCCAGGUUGCUUCGUCUUGUGUCAGAUACAUUGCUGAAGUCAAGGCUUACAGUACCUGGAUCCAGCUGUUGACACUCAUUGGGAGCCAGAAAGAUUUGCCAGGCUGAACGCCGCCUGCAAAUUUAAAAUUAUUUGCUUCUUGAGCAGUCCCUGGAUUAUUGGAGGAAGACACCAGGCAAAGUUCCCAAGAAUCUGGAGAAGCCCCCAUAUUCCAAAGAGAUCAACAAGCAUCCAAAGAACAUUUCUGAGGAAGAAAGAGGAGUGCAAGGAUCUUCUCCUUCCCCAUUCCACUAACAGAAGCAGUCUAUUGAAUUGGUACCCUUCCGCAGACAGAAGUUCCUGGAUCCAAGUUUAGAGGUGGCAAUCAGAAUGUGGCAGCCAGAUUGUUAACUGGCUGACUGUCAAGAACAUCAUGCUAGCUGUUGAAAUUUCUCUGAGAGGUACCAGUUUGGUCCUGAAUUCAGCUUUCUAUCCUGGACUUGUUAUCCUCCAAACAGCCUGAGAUUAGGCAAUGGUAGUCACUGGAGAGAUGGACCUUUUCUGUAAUAGCAUUCCAGGUUAUGGACCCUUUUGCCUAGAUAUAUGCACCUAUUUGUUUCUUUACCAUCUUUUAGGUUCCAGGCAAAUCUAAAGUUUUUGUUAUUUGUAUUUAUAUAGUUUUAACAAUAUUUUAUUAGUUUGGGGGUAAGGGAAUCCCCAACAUAUAUAUAUAGCUAGCAAAUGGCUUGCUAGCCUCUGCUUAGAUAGAAGCAAUGCUGUUUGGCAAAUCAUUCAAUGCUCCACCAGUGUGAUAAGCAUAGCAGAUACACUGGGGAAUGCAUUGAUGGCAAAUCUAUUUCACAGGAAAAGACACACUAGGAAAAUGACUGAAAGAGGUUGGGGCCAUGGUUGCAUAGAAACAGUACAAGUAAGAUCAUACCUAUCUUCUGUUCCUUUAAUCAGUGUCAAAACCAACUGAAGCAGCUUUACAAGAACACCAGAUUUGGUGCAAAUAACCCUCCCCCCUUCUCAACAAUGGGAUGGGGGAAUAAAAAAUAGCUACCCUGUGAAUAAUAUCCUAACUUUGUUAAUGCUACAACAGAGCAUAGAUGUAAUGGGCGUCUCAGAGUCUUGGAAAGAAGAUAGUGGUUUGCAAAAGAUUGCAAGCAGAGAACAUCACUUUCUUCCAUCCUCAUCUGUCUCCAACAACAGUGGGGAACACCAGUGGGCUUAUUGCCAGGUGUGCUAUUGGGGCUGUUGGAAUCAUCCAUGACUGCUGUGGUGAUACGAGGGUAUAUGGUGGUAAUGGACAGCACAUCUGUCAUGACUUCCUUGGCUCACUUCAGGUGUGAAUAGCAUCUUUCCCCAGUCUGGGCACAGGUUGUCCUUUCUGGGAAACUGGGAGUCUGUCUGAAGUUUGUGGUCUGUCCACCUGGGUUUUUCUUUUUCUGGUUCUGUUUUUGUAUUUCUACCAUUAGUGUUCUCAUUGACACUUCAUUUUGUGUUUCUGCUUUUGUGAUUUUCUGUUGCUUCUCUAUUCAGUGCCCAUUCAACUGACAUAUUUCUACUGGUGUUAUGCCAGGAUAAGAUUGUUAACUGCCGUUAGCUGCUGUUAUUUUUCAUUGGGGGUUCUCAUAUCUUGUAAUCUUUUAUUUUGUGACUGUAAGGCAGAGUAAAAAAACAACAACACUGAGAAUCAGAAAUAAAUUUGUGCUUUUCAGUACAAAUUUAGCUUGAAUGGGUAUUGGUUGUGUUUUAACUACAGAAGUAGCUAGUUCUAGAAUAAAUGUGGGAAUAUGGAGAAAAGUUCUUUUAACAGCUCUCCCAGGUUGCUAAGGUUGUUUCCAAUCAGACAUUUUAGCAUGUAAUCAUGGUUCAUCAACAGCAAUUUCAUGGAGCAUCCAGAUAGCAUCUUUGUUCUUUAGUUAUUAGUCUACAAAUUUCCCUUUCAUGUUUUUUUUCCUUUAUUGAAUUGGGAUAUCCUAACCCCUGAACAUUUGAGGAGUUCUACAUACCUGCGUGCAUAUUUCUUUUUAACAAUUUUUUAAAUAUUAGAAUUCCGGAAUUGCAGAAUUCCAAAUGAGUGUGCUUGAGGUUUUGAAAUUAUCUCUGUACCUCUCCCAGUGGUUGAAUUUGUGCAGGUUUUCAGCAGUGCUAGAGAAGGAGUUGGCUACCUUCUGAGAUGAUGUCCAAUUUCUGGGUCUAGCCUAAACCCCAGAAUUUCCCAGUGACCUCCAAUUUAAUGCUUAACCUGCAUAACUGUUUAAGAUGAGUCAAGGUCUGCUGGGUUACCAGGUAUAAAUUAGUAUUGUGUAGUGGUUAAGGUGCCAGGCUAGA